rnacentral:rRNA from 1 species
UACGGAGGAUGCAAGCGUUAUCCGGAAUUAUUGGGCGUAAAGCGUCCGUAGGUGGUUGGCCAAGUCUGCUGUCAAAGGGUGGGGCUUAACCUCAUAAAGGCAGUGGAAACUGGCGAGCUAGAGUGCGGUAGGGGUAGGGGGAAUUCCCAGUGUAGCGGUGAAAUGCGUAGAGAUUGGGAAGAACAUCGGUGGCGAGAGCGCCCUGCUGGGCCUGCACUGACACUGAGUUACGAAAGCUAGGGGAGCGAAAGGG